AAAAGGUCCGAAAAAGAAAAAGAAAAAAAAAUCCACCGCUGCCUCCGCCGCCUGCCCAUCUCCUCGCUUCCAUCGCCGCCUCCCCAUUGCCGUCGCCUCCUCCACCUCCACUUCCACCCUCCUCCUCCACCGCGCCCACUCGCCCCCUCCAUAUCCACGUCGCUGGCGCAAGUUCCUCAUCCGCCUCUGCCUGCCACCACUUCCUCCUCCUCUUCCCCUCUACCAAUGCCGCCUCUGUCUCCACUACCUCGUCCCCGUCCUCCACCCACAGAUCGGUCUAGCCACCGAAUCCCGCUGCGGCAGGAGGCCGCCCGGCCCGCUCGCCGCCAUGAAAUGGGGCGCCAGCUUCUACCACAUCUCCGAGGAGACGCACCGCCUCGCCGAAGCUAGAAGCUGAGGUACGCUGGUUCGUUGAUUCUUUGUCUCCAUCAAUGACGAGAGUUGUCAAAGAUCCUCUUCCGAAAUAACCAGAUAUGUGAUUUUAUUUGCAAUUGAUUCAGUAGCUUUUCAAUCCAUACAUAUAUUCUGAAAUCAGGCAAACAUUAGCUACGGUACCAAAUCAUUGUCUCUGCAUUUUCUUUUACAUUUCCUCACAGCUAGCUUGCUCAAAUUGUUCAUAUGUUUAACCACAUCUAUUGGAUGUCUCAUGAUACUCAUAAUAUAACCAAGGAAAGCUCAGAUAAAAUAUCAUGUAAUUUUGUCAUUGCAGUUGCAACAAAUUUUGAAGUUGUUCAGAUUAAAACAGUUAAUUUUUAGCUAGGUUCAUUUGGUUUCA